UACGGAGGGGGCUAGCGUUGUUCGGAAUUACUGGGCGUAAAGCGCGCGUAGGCGGACCUGCAAGUCGGGGGUGAAAGCCCGAGGCUCAACCUCGGAACUGCCUUCGAUACUGCGGGUCUCGAGUCCGGGAGAGGUGAGUGGAAUUCCGAGUGUAGAGGUGAAAUUCGUAGAUAUUCGGAAGAACACCGGUGGCGAAGGCGGCCCCCUGGACCGGUACUGACGCCUGAGGCGCGAAAGCGUGGGUAGCAAACGGG
rnacentral:rRNA from 1 species